UCUCUGGUAGUAUAUCGGAUAGUACAGCCGCCUGUCAUACAAGAUCCACUUUGGUCAGUCGGCGCGCGGCAGAGCUGGGUUCGACUCCCAGCCAGAGAG